AUGAACGCUAGCUACAGGCUUAACACAUGCAAGUCGAGGGGCAGCAUGGUCUUAGCUUGCUAAGGCUGAUGGCGACCGGCGCACGGGUGAGUAACACGUAUCCAACCUGCCGUCUACUCUUGGCCAGCCUUCUGAAAGGAAGAUUAAUCCAGGAUGGGAUCAUGAGUUCACAUGUCCGCAUGAUUAAAGGUAUUUUCCGGUAGACGAUGGGGAUGCGUUCCAUUAGAUAGUAGGCGGGGUAACGGCCCACCUAGUCAACGAUGGAUAGGGGUUCUGAGAGGAAGGUCCCCCACAUUGGAACUGAGACACGGUCCAAACUCCUACGGGAGGCAGCAGUGAGGAAUAUUGGUCAAUGGGCGAUGGCCUGAACCAGCCAAGUAGCGUGAAGGAUGACUGCCCUAUGGGUUGUAAACUUCUUUUAUAAAGGAAUAAAGUCGGGUAUGCAUACCCGUUUGCAUGUACUUUAUGAAUAAGGAUCGGCUAACUCCGUGCCAGCAGCCGCGGUAAUACGGAGGAUCCGAGCGUUAUCCGGAUUUAUUGGGUUUAAAGGGAGCGUAGAUGGAUGUUUAAGUCAGUUGUGAAAGUUUGCGGCUCAACCGUAAAAUUGCAGUUGAUACUGGAUGUCUUGAGUGCAGUUGAGGCAGGCGGAAUUCGUGGUGUAGCGGUGAAAUGCUUAGAUAUCACGAAGAACUCCGAUUGCGAAGGCAGCCUGCUAAGCUGCAACUGACAUUGAGGCUCGAAAGUGUGGGUAGCAAACAGGAUUAGAUACCCUGGUAGUCCACGCCGUAAACGAUGAGUGCUAAGUGUUAGAGGGUUUCCGCCCUUUAGUGCUGCAGCUAACGCAUUAAGCACUCCGCCUGGGGAGUACGGCCGCAAGGUUGAAACUCAAAGGAAUUGACGGGGGCCCGCACAAGCAGUGGAGUAUGUGGUUUAAUUCGAAGCAACGCGAAGAACCUUACCAGGGCUUGACAUCCCGGUGACCGGCUUAGAGAUAAGCCUUUUCCUUCGGGAACACCGGUGACAGGUGGUGCAUGGUUGUCGUCAGCUCGUGUCGUGAGAUGUUGGGUUAAGUCCCGCAACGAGCGCAACCCUUGUUGUCAGUUACUAACAGGUGAUGCUGAGGACUCUGACAAGACUGCCAUCGUAAGAUGUGAGGAAGGUGGGGAUGACGUCAAAUCAGCACGGCCCUUACGUCCGGGGCUACACACGUGUUACAAUGGGGGGUACAGAGGGCCGCUACCACGCGAGUGGAUGCCAAUCCCUAAAACCCCUCUCAGUUCGGACUGGAGUCUGCAACCCGACUCCACGAAGCUGGAUUCGCUAGUAAUCGCGCAUCAGCCACGGCGCGGUGAAUACGUUCCCGGGCCUUGUACACACCGCCCGUCAAGCCAUGGGAGCCGGGGGUACCUGAAGUGCGUAACCGCGAGGAUCGCCCUAGGGUAAAACUGGUGACUGGGGCU
rnacentral:rRNA from 1 species